AAGUCAUAACAAGGUUUCCGUAGGUGAACCUGCGGAAGGAUCAUUAGUGAUUUGCCCUCACGGGCUUAUACAAUAUCCACACACACCUGUGAACUGUUUUUGAAUGCUCUGUAGAUGGACGCAAGUCUUGAAGCGGGUGUUUGAUAUUUUUACAAACUUUUGUUGUUUAGAAUGUAUAACAUAUAACAAAAACAAAACUUUCAACAACGGAUCUCUUGGCUCUC
rnacentral:misc_RNA from 1 species